GACGAACGCUGGCGGCGCGCCUAACACAUGCAAGUCGAACGAGCGAGAGAGAGCUUGCUUUCUCGAGCGAGUGGCGAACGGGUGAGUAACGCGUGAGGAACCUGCCUCAAAGAGGGGGACAACAGUUGGAAACGACUGCUAAUACCGCAUAAGCCCACGGGUCGGCAUCGACCAGAGGGAAAAGGAGCAAUCCGCUUUGAGAUGGCCUCGCGUCCGAUUAGCUAGUUGGUGAGGUAACGGCCCACCAAGGCAACGAUCGGUAGCCGGACUGAGAGGUUGAACGGCCACAUUGGGACUGAGACACGGCCCAGACUCCUACGGGAGGCAGCAGUGGGGAAUAUUGCACAAUGGGGGAAACCCUGAUGCAGCGACGCCGCGUGGAGGAAGAAGGCUUUCGGGUUGUAAACUUCUUUUGUCAGGGAAGAGUAGAAGACGGUACCUGACGAAUAAGCCACGGCUAACUACGUG
rnacentral:rRNA from 1 species